UAUAAUGCAGUCGAGCGGACAGAAGGGAGCUUGCUCCCGGAUGUUAGCGGCGGACGGGUGAGUAACACGUGGGUAACCUGCCUGUAAGACUGGGAUAACUCCGGGAAACCGGAGCUAAUACCGGAUAGUUCCUUGAACCGCAUGGUUCAAGGAUGAAAGACGGUUUCGGCUGUCACUUACAGAUGGACCCGCGGCGCAUUAGCUAGUUGGUGAGGUAACGGCUCACCAAGGCGACGAUGCGUAGCCGACCUGAGAGGGUGAUCGGCCACACUGGGACUGAGACACGGCCCAGACUCCUACGGGAGGCAGCAGUAGGGAAUCUUCCGCAAUGGACGAAAGUCUGACGGAGCAACGCCGCGUGAGUGAUGAAGGUUUUCGGAUCGUAAAGCUCUGUUGUUAGGGAAGAACAAGUGCAAGAGUAACUGCUUGCACCUUGACGGUACCUAACCAGAAAGCCACGGCUAACUACGUGCCAGCAGCCGCGGUAAUACGUAGGUGGCAAGCGUUGUCCGGAAUUAUUGGGCGUAAAGGGCUCGCAGGCGGUUUCUUAAGUCUGAUGUGAAAGCCCCCGGCUCAACCGGGGAGGGUCAUUGGAAACUGGGAAACUUGAGUGCAGAAGAGGAGAGUGGAAUUCCACGUGUAGCGGUGAAAUGCGUAGAGAUGUGGAGGAACACCAGUGGCGAAGGCGACUCUCUGGUCUGUAACUGACGCUGAGGAGCGAAAGCGUGGGGAGCGAACAGGAUUAGAUACCC
rnacentral:rRNA from 1 species